CAAUAGCGUAUAUUUAAGUUGUUGCAGUUAAUAAGCUCGUAGUUGGAUUUCGGGUGUGAACGACCGGUCCGUCUUUGAUGUGUACUGGUUGGUUGCGCCUUAUUGUCGAGGACGUGGUUCUAGCUUUCAUUAGCCGGGACACGGAGUCGGCAGCGUUACUUUGAGAAAAUUAGAGUGUUCAAAGCAGGCUAUCGCUCUGAAUACUACAGCAUGGAAUAACACGAUAGGACUCCGAGCCUAUUCUGUUGGUCUUCGGGACCGGAGUAAUGAUUAAGAGGGACAGUUGGGGGCAUUCGUAUUCCGAUGUCAGAGGUGAAAUUCUUGGAUUAUCGGAAGACGAACAUCUGCGAAAGCAUCUGCCAAGGAUGUUUUCAUUAA
rnacentral:rRNA from 1 species